CAGCUGCUUCAGAGUUUACAGUAAAAUGUUGUCUUGACUUCGCCUUGUGAUUUUCUUUUACUUUUUUUUUGCAUUUCUAUUGCCUUUCUUUGGUAUAUUAUCAGUUUUUAACUGUUUAACGAAACUUUUCACACUAUAAAUUAAUUUACCACGCUUGAAAAGUAAGCAUGGGAAUCCUUGAGUUGGACAUAGAAUUUUGUUCCAACUAAACUCCAACCCAAUUCCAAUUCUCGAUGACACAGAAAUAUUUUUUUGGUUGUGUGUAAACACCCAUGAGAGAAUUUGAUAAAUCAAUGAACAAAAUUCAAAUCCAAAAGCCAACUGCCUAUACAUAGUAUUUACAUUUUUUUGUUUCGAAGAUUUUUCUAAUGAGUUUAUUGAUGACGUGUUUUUUUCAAUUGAAGGAGGAUGAAGUCCUUGAUCCAACUAUAUAAAUGAGAGCACGGCUAAUAACAUUAUUAUUAUAUUUUCUGUAUUAUGCAUGCCAUAAUAAAAACUUAUAGAUCUGGAAGAUUCCUAAUUUAAUAAA